rnacentral:lncRNA from 1 species
GGUACCUUCUGGGAUUUAGCAGCCGUCGAAGCCUGGGACUGGCUCAGGGUGCUGCUGCUUGGCCUGUCGACCGUGGAGCAAGUUGGAGGUGGUUUCACAGUACUCAGCUGCUGCAGGGUGAGUGGCUUGCGCUCGCUCCACUUCUCUCUUUAGCUGAGCAAUGGGGCCUGGGUCAGGGGCUUUCUUGAUUGGGGACACGGUUUGUGAGGUUAAGUGCGGACUCUUCCUGUUCCUUUCAACCUCCCCCAGAAACGGGCCUGCUGACUUAGCCUAUGGCAUGCGGCAAAAGAACUGUCUUCAGACUUGGGAGAGCAUGGUUCCGUCCUUGGCCUGCCUUCAGGGCUACAUGGCUUCUCUGUGACCUUGCUUUAGAAUUUGAGAAAUUUCGAUGUCACCUAGGGAGGGUCUGUUUUAAAUCCCUCUAUUUUAGACCCUUAUCAAUCACAUGUCAAAUUUCUUUAAUUUUACCAUUCCUCUCUAAUGUAAUAUAGCUGCCCAUACAUUCAAAGCCACUAUUACCCAUACUGAUUCAUUCAAAGGACCUGUCCCUAUUGGAAAACUUUAAAUCUUACUGCACUUAAUGUAUGCAGCAUACAAGACUUAACUUAGAAAAUACAGAAUCACAGACAUUGCUAGAAUGUUUCAAGUAAAAUAUGUGGCAUGAAAUUCAUACAGCCUAUUACAUAAAAUUGUUCUUAAGCAGUGAUAUUGAACUCGGAGAUAUACCCACUGUCCUUCCGUUAUUUAACAUACAGCAUAUAAAAUGGCAGACCUGGCAUUAUUCUUCCUUACGUGUAUGAAUAUGGGCUGGGGGUUAGGAUGGGGGCACAGAAAACAGUUUUAGAAACCAUUAGACAUUUAAGUAAUCAUUCUUACCACCACCUGGUACAGUAGGCCUAGCCCACACUUUCUGAGCUGUCUGAGGCCACAAAAC